rnacentral:rRNA from 1 species
AGUCAACCUACCCUAUGGACGGGAAUAAUCUCGGGAAACUGAGGAUAAUUCCAGAUAGAUCACAAUGCCUGGAACGGUUUGUGUUCCAAAUGAUUUAUCGCCGUAGGAUGGGACUGCGUCCUAUCAGUUUGUUGGUGAGGUAAUGGCCCACCAAGACUAUUACAGGUACGGGCUCUGAGAGGAGUAGCCCGGAGAUGGGUACUGAGACACGGACCCAGGCCCUAUGGGGCGCAGCAGGCGAGAAAACUUUGCAAUGUGCGAAAGCACGACAAGGUUAAUCCGAGUGGUUCCUGCUAAAGGAACCUUUUGACGGUCCUAAAAACACCGUUGAAUAAGGGGUGGGCAAGUUCUGGUGUCAGCCGCCGCGGUAAAACCAGCACCUCAAGUGGUCAGGAUGAUUAUUGGGCCUAAAGCAUCCGUAGCCGGCUCUGUGAGUUUUCGGUUAAAUCUGUGCGCUCAACGUACAGGCUGCCGGGAAUACUGCAAAGCUAGGGAGUGGGAGAGGUAGACGGUACUUGGUAGGAAGGGGUAAAAUCCUCUGAUCUAUUGAUGACCACCUGUGGCGAAGGCGGUCUACCAGAACACGUCCGACGGUGAGGGAUGAAAGCUGGGGGAGCAAACCGGAUUAGAUACCCGGGUAGUCCCAGCUGUAAACUAUGCAAACUCAAUGAUGCAUUGGCUUGAAGCCAAUGCAGUGUU